AUGAGCUGGUCCGGUGGCCUUGCGCGCGGCAGCUCGGAUGCUCGAGGAGACGAGGCGACCUGUGCUGGGGCUCCAGCGAGCUCCAACCUGAACGAAGGGGACGAACGGCGCGGUGGUGAAGGGAGGAGCGCCGGGACGACGGCGGCGCCAUGGAGAAGAAACAGGAGGGAAGAAGAGGGGCGCGUCGGGGCUCUUCAGAGGACGGCUUGCGGUGGCCUUGGCGAGGUCGAGACGGUGGCGGGCCUUAGGUGCCUGCACGCGUGGGGACGGUUUGGGGAGCGAGAGGAGAUGGGAUUGAGCACGGUGCUCUCCUGGCGGCGCUGGGAGGAACGAAAGAGGAGGAGGGGUUCGAGGGAGAUGUGGGUCGAGGCUAGGGUUAGAACUGGUGGGGGUCGGCUGGGCCUAUGGGCCGGCCUAGGCUGGGCUUCUCUCUCUCUCUCUUCUCUUAUAUCCUAUAGCAGAAAAGAAAAUCGAAAGAGGGAAAAGAAGGAGAGGGUUAGGAAAGGAUUUUGCGCAUAG
rnacentral:rRNA from 1 species